rnacentral:lncRNA from 1 species
AUUAAAAUGAUCAAUUUCCCAUCAGUCUGUUGCUUUAAAUUUUAUUUCUUCAAGAGAAACUUUCCACAGAAUUAAGAAAAAUAAUAAUGCAUCCAUAUUCAGGGUGUAGGGAAAAUUCUUUCCAUUUCAAGCUCUGUCCACCCGUCACCAGCACAAGAGAAGUAGAGCUUCCCUGGGAAUUACGAAGCUGUGCUCAAGUGAAAUGCUUUUUUCCUCACUCUCGUUUGAGGCCCUGCAUACAUUGACUAACUCACCGUAUUCCUGCUCUGGAGAUGCAGACGCAGUGUUGGUCACACUUGUCAUUGUGCAGUGUUAAUAGUAAUAAUUCACAUUCUUGUUUAAUAUACCAGCUAUAGAGCAAAAGCAGCUUU